rnacentral:misc_RNA from 1 species
UGUAGUACUGCGGAGGAUCAUUACUGAGUGAGGGCCCUCUGGGUCCAACCUCCCACCCGUGUUUAUUUACCUUGUUGCUUCGGCGGGCCCGCCUUAACUGGCCGCCGGGGGGCUUACGCCCCCGGGCCCGCGCCCGCCGAAUACACCCUCGAACUCUGUCUGAAGAUUGAAGUCUGAGUGAAAAUAUAAAUUAUUUAAAACUUUCAACAACGGAUCUCUUGGUUCCGGCAUCGAUGAAGAACGCAGCGAAAUGCGAUACGCUAACUGUCGAAUUGCAAAUUCAGUGAAUCAUCGAGUCUUUGAACGCACAUUGCGCCCCCUGGUAUUCCGGGGGGCAUGCCUGUCCGAGCGUCAUUGCUGCCCUCAAGCCCGGCUUGUGUGUUGGGCCCCGUACUCCGAUUCCGGGGGACGGACCCGAAAGGCAGCGGCGGCACCGCGUCCGGGCCUCGAGCGUAUGAG